AGCCGAUGGCGGAGGCCUAACACAUGCAAGUCGAGCGCACUCUUCGGAGUGAGCGGCGGACGGGUUAGUAACGCGUGGGAACGUGCCCAGAUCUAAGGAAUAGCCACUGGAAACGGUGAGUAAUACCUUAUACGCCCUUCGGGGGAAAGAUUUAUCGGAUUUGGAUCGGCCCGCGUUAGAUUAGAUAGUUGGUGGGGUAACGGCCUACCAAGUCUACGAUCUAUAGCUGGUUUUAGAGGAUGAUCAGCAACACUGGGACUGAGACACGGCCCAGACUCCUGCGGGAGGCAGCAGUGGGGAAUCUUGGACAAUGGGGGCAACCCUGAUCCAGCCAUGCCGCGUGAGUGAUGAAGGCCCUAGGGUCGUAAAGCUCUUUCGCCAGAGAUGAUAAUGACAGUAUCUGGUAAAGAAACCCCGGCUAACUCCGUGCCAGCAGCCGCGGUAAUACGGAGGGGGUUAGCGUUGUUCGGAAUUACUGGGCGUAAAGCGCGCGUAGGCGGAUCGGAAAGUUGGGGGUGAAAUCCCGGGGCUCAACCCCGGAACUGCCUCCAAAACUAUCGGUCUAGAGUUCGAGAGAGGUGAGUGGAAUUCCGAGUGUAGAGGUGAUAUUCGUAGAUAUUCGGAGGAACACCAGUGGCGAAGGCGGCUCACUGGCUCGAUACUGACGCUGAGGUGCGAGCGUGUGGGGAGCACACAUGAUUAUAUAACAUGGUAGUCCGCAUCGCCGACGAUGAUUGCCAAUCUUCCGGGUAGCAUGCUGCUCCGCGACUCACCUUAUCGGGAUUAAGCGUUCUAGAUGUGAAGCUCGGUCUGCAAAGUGUGAUCACAUAACAUGGAGGA
rnacentral:rRNA from 1 species